rnacentral:rRNA from 1 species
UACGAAGGGGGCUAGCGUUGUUCGGAUUUACUGGGCGUAAAGCGCACGUAGGCGGUUUGUUAAGUCAGAGGUGAAAUCCCGGAGCUCAACUCCGGAACUGCCCUUUGAUACUGGCAGCUAGAGUCCGGAAGAGGUAAGUGGAACGUCCUAGUGUAGAGGUGGAUUCGUAGAUAUUAGGAAGAACACCAGUGGCGAAGGCGGCUACUGGUCCGGAA